AAUUAACGCUGGCAGAGUGCAUAACACAUGCAAGUCGAGCGGGUGGCGGAUUAUCGCGCCUAGCGGCAGACGAGUGAGUAACACGUAAGCAACUUGCCCCCGAGUGGCGAACAACCAGCCGAAAGGUUGGCUAAUACGCCGUAUUAUCCCUUCAGGGCAUCCUGGAGGGAUGAAAGCCGUAAGGCGAUCGGGGAGGGGCUUGCGACCCAUCAGCUAGUUGGCGGNGUAAUAGACCACCAAGGCUAUGACGGGUACCCGGCCUGAAAGGGCGGACGGGCACGAAGGCACUGAGAAACGGGCCUUACUCCUACGGGAGGCAGCAGUGGGGAAUUUUGGACAAUGGGGAAACCCUGAUCCAGCAACUCUGCGUGAGGGACGAAGUCC
rnacentral:rRNA from 1 species